rnacentral:rRNA from 1 species
GACGAACGCUGGCGGCGUGCCUAAUACAUGCAAGUCGAACGAGAGCGACCGGUGCUUGCACUGGUCAAUCUAGUGGCGAACGGGUGAGUAACACGUGGGUAACCUGCCCAUCAGAGGGGGAUAACAUCCGGAAACGGAUGCUAAAACCGCAUAGGUCUUCGAACCGCAUGGUUUGAAGAGGAAAAGAGGCGCGAGCUUCUGCUGAUGGAUGGACCCGCGGUGCAUUAGCUAGUUGGUGAGGUAACGGCUCACCAAGGCCGUGAUGCAUAGCCGACCUGAGAGGGUGAUCGGCCACAUUGGGACUGAGACACGGCCCAAACUCCUACGGGAGGCAGCAGUAGGGAAUCUUCCGCAAUGGACGCAAGUCUGACGGAGCAACGCCGCGUGAGUGAAGAAGGUUUUCGGAUCGUAAAACUCUGUUGUUAGAGAAGAACAAGUGCUAGAGUAACUGUUAGCGCCUUGACGGUAUCUAACCAGAAAGCCACGGCUAACUACGUG